CAGGAAGUCAGUCGCAAAGCAGGACACUGAACUCAAGUCUCCCAUAUCUUAGGUUAGGGCCCUGACCACACCCACCUCUUGGAACUUGAAGGAACUCACAAAAACAUCAGCUUCUACAGCGGAAAGGCCAGAUCACAGACUGGCUUGAAGAUUCUAACCAGUAUCAGGCCAUGUUCCAAGCAGACAUAACUCUAUGUGGAUUAACACCACAGCACAACUUGGGAAAGGGCCAUGGGUCUCAGUUUGGCCAGCCAGCCAGCAGAAGGAGCACAAGUUAACAUCAAAACCUUAUUCAUAGAGAUGUACUGGCUUCAUUGAUGCCUUUUGUGCAUGAUGCUUUUUUUAUGACAC